CCAAUAGCGUAUAUUAAAGUUGUUGUGGUUAAAAAGCUCGUAGUUGAACCUUGGGCCUGGCUGGCCGGUCCGCCUCACCGCGUGUACUGGUCCGGCCGGGCCUUUCCCUCUGUGGAACCUCAUGCCCUUCACUGGGUGUGGCGGGGAAGCAGGACUUUUACUGUGAAAAAAUUAGAGUGCUCCAAGCAGGCCUAUGCUCGAAUACAUUAGCAUGGAAUAAUAAAAUAGGACGUGCGGGUCUAUUUUGUUGGUUUCUAGGACCGCCGUAAUGAUUAAUAGGGACAGUCGGGGGCAUCAGUAUUCAAUUGUCAGAGGUGAAAUGCUUGGAGUUAUUGAAGACUAACUACUGCGAAAGCAUUUGCCAAGGAUGUUUUCAUUAAUCAGGAACGAAAGUUAGGGGAUCGAAGACGAUCAGAUACCGUCGUAGUCUUAACCAUAAACUAUGCCGACUAGGAAUCAGACAAAGUUCAUUUUUUAACGACUUGUUUGGUACCUUACA
rnacentral:misc_RNA from 1 species